ACGAAGAGAAGAAACGAAGUUUUAAAUCCGUCUCCAUUAAAGGGUUGUUCACAAGAGUUUUUUGGAUAGACAGACUUUUAACUUUAACUAAAUCACUAUAGUUUCAAAUUUGGUGUGCAUCAACGAGAUCGUUUGCAACAUGGAAAAAAGAAAGGAAAGAUGGUGAAGUGUAUGGGUUUACGGAAUAUUAUACCGUUUACCACAGAGUAUUUUGUCCACCCUAAAAACAGACUGUUCGUAACAACACCAAUGUCCAGAAGUCAAGAUUCCGAAAUAAUGAUCCAUUAUUUCGGCACAUUUUUAGUGUUUUAGAGGUAUUUUAAAGACGAAGAAGGGAAAUUUAUCAAUGAUUUUGGAUUAGAUUUAAAACAUUCUUAGAUGAUAUAUAAGUAAUGCAGUUGCUAAUAAAAAAAAAUUGAGUUGUAUCUUAAUAACAAUGUAGAAAGUAAUAGAAGCAAUAAAAGAAAAGGUAAAACAAAUUACAAGCUAAUGCAAAAAGUAUUUUAGAAUUGCUAUGUAAUUUAGCAACUAUAUCAGUAAUUCUCCAAAAAUAUAAUGAAAUUAGCUCUAUGAUAAAAUUACUACAAAAUGCUAGGAUUAGUGCUUUUGAUAAGCUGAAUAGAAAUAUGAAAUAGAUUAUCCCAGUUAUAAGAUACUACAGCCUUUAUUUUUAAGUGAAUUUCUCCUGUUUGCGUUUUAGGUGACGAUGAUUGUUUUUGUUCAUCCUUGCCAGUUCUGUUCGGAGAUAGUAUUUUUGUAGAAUUAAUCUGAGACUGAAAGCGUUUAUGGCAAAUAAAAGUGUUCAUUGAAA